UCCGGAGGGCGCAAGCGUUGUUCGGAAUCAUUGGGCGUAAAGAGCGUGUAGGCGGUUUGGUAAGUCGGGUGUGAAAGCCCGGGGCCUAACCCCGGAGGGUCAUUCGAAACUGCCAAGCUAGAGUCCCGGAGAGGGUGGCGGAAUUCCCAGUGUAGAGGUGAAAUUCGUAGAUAUUGGGAAGAACACCGGCGGCGAAGGCGGCCACCUGGACGGUGACUGACGCUGAGACGCGAAAGCGUGGGGAGCAAACAGG
rnacentral:rRNA from 1 species